GCGCCGGUGGCGCAAUGGCGUAGAGCAUUCCCGCCCGGUUAGAGGGAGGUGCGGGUUCGAGUCCCGCCUGGCGCU
rnacentral:tRNA from 1 species